CCAUCAUUCCUUCAUUGAGCAACAGCUGCUUUCUCAAAAACCAACAUGAAGCAAUCUUUUGAUUCCAUUUUUGACAUUCUUACUAAAACAAAAUUUCCAUGGAUUUUCGUUAUCAGAGGCCACUCCAGGGCUGGGUUUUCUACAAAAGCAUGAAGGUUUCUUUCUCAUUCGCGACAUAUGUUGGUGACCUGCUCUGCAUCUCCUAAUACUGGAUUUGGGUUUAUGGAGCAGCCACCAUCCAAAAAGAUGUCAGUGGCCAGAGCAAAGGGAAAAAGAAAGAUCUGAAGUGUGCUGCACUGCUCAGCUUCCUGAGACACAACACCAGCUGAAGUAGAAUCCAUCAUCCUGAGAUAAAUAAGUCUCCCUUCAAGAAAACCUGGAGGACUCAAGUUAGUACAAAAGCAAGGCUUUCUCUUCUGUAUGAUCCCAAUAUGCAACUUGUUUAAUAUACCAGGGUCAAUGGGAGAGAGUGGGAGUAUACAGCUAUGUAGCAUUUAAGGAAGGCAUAAACAAACGGUGUAUAUGAAAAUACUUCCAGAUUUCCAUUUUCAAAAGCCCUAUACCUAGAGUUUAGACACAGAUGAAUAAGCUACAGCUUCAGGCUAGGUGUGCACCCCUGCCACCCCAUUGUAAUGGGCCAAAAUUGAUGACUUUAGAGGUAAUUAUGUUGAAUUUGACAACUAGAAACCAAAUAUCAAACUGAGAAAUGUUUUCUGCCUUAUAUGUUGUUUGAUAUACAAAGUAAUACAUAUUUUGGACAAUUUUAUGACAUCUCAUUAGUGAGC